rnacentral:rRNA from 1 species
GCCACCCUUUAAAGAAAGCGUAACAGCUCACCUAUCAAGGUUCGAGGCCCCGAAAAUGGACGGGGCUAAGCAUACCACCGAUACUUUAGAGGCGCUCGUUUGAGCGUUCUGGUAGGCAGGCGUGGAUUCUGCGCAGAAGUUUUCGUGAAAGCGAGGAUGGAGCGGGAUCCAACGAGAAUCUUGGCGGUAGUAAGAUCAGAUUACUCUGAGAAUGAGUAGCGUCGGAAGAGCAAGGUUUCCUUGGCAAUGUCGUUCAACCAAGGGUUAGUCGGUACCUAAGUUGUAUCUUAACUGAAUACGACGAAUGGACAUCUGGUUAAUAUUCCAGAACUUGUUAUUCUCGUUUAGUGCACGAAUUCGCUUCGGGAUAGGCGGAGGCUUGAGAGAGCUAAUGAUUAAGAAAAACGUGGAUCGUAAUGAUAAGAAGCGUUUGAAUUUUUUAUGAAUCUGUUGACUCCGGGGGCCCAUGAAAAGUUUGUGCAUAGAGAAUAACAAGCCGUACCCAGAAUCGGCACUGAUGCUCUAGCUUAGUAGGCUAAGACGUGAAAGGGAUAAACUGUUUAAGGGAAUUCGGCAAGUUAGCCCUGUAUCUUCGGUAUAAGGGGUGUCUAUAGUCGUCCAAUAGGAGCGACGGUAGAUUGCAAUUACAAGGACUGCCCGACUGUUUAUCAAAAACGUAGCCGGAUGCAAAUCAGAAAUGACUCGUAUAUCCGGUGAAACCUGCCCAGUGGUGGUGUUUCAAACUCUGGUUCAACAGAGCUAAGACCCAUUAAACGGCGGGCCUAACUAUGAGGCUCUUAAGGUAGCGUAAUGCCUUGUCGUUUGAAUAGCGACGUGCAUGAAUGGUUUAACGAGGUGGUCACUGUCCCUAAACAGAACCUUCUGAACACACUUGAUGGUGAAAAUGCCAUCGUCGCCUAGUGGGAAGCGGAGACCUUGUGAACCUUUACUACAACUUGUUGUUGUGAUUUCGAGAGAGAUGCAUAGAAUAGGUAGGAGCGUCGAUGUUAUCGUUCUGGCGGUAACGGAGCAACUGUGUAAUACUACCCAUUUUUCUUGGGAUUGCUCACCUGCGAGGGGACACCAACAGGCAGGUAGUUUGGCUGGGGCGGCACCCUGCAGAAAAGAUAUCUGUAGGGCCCAAAGACAAACUCAUCCAGGUCGGAAAUCUGGAGAAGAGUGCGAAGGCAAAAGUUUGUCUGACUGUAUUUCGAACAGCAAGAAAUGCAGGGAUGAAAGUCGGGCUUAGCGACCCCACGUAGUUUCUUAAUAGAACUCGUGUGUGACAGAAAAGGUACUCCAAGGAUAACAGGCUCGUCGCCCCCGAUAGUCCGUAUUGACGGGGCGGUUUGGUACAUCGCUGUCGGCUCUUCCUAUCCUGGCUGUGCACAAGCAGCCAAGGGUGUCGGAGUUCACGCAUUAAAAGGGAUCGUUAGCUGGGUUAAGAACGUUGUGAGACAGUUUGUAUGAUAUCUACUAGGCGCGUUGUUGUCUGAGUGGAACGAGUUAGUAGUACGAGAGGAACCUGACUCGGAUGCCUCUGGUGGGCGGUUGUUAUGAAGCAGGCCGCGUAGCUACGCAUUGUGUGGAUAAGUGCUGAAAGCAUCUAAGCACGAAGCCAUCCGCAAGACGAGACAACUUAGGCCGUUAUAGAAGAUAACGUUGAUAGAAUUGGUGUGUAAGAUCCAAGGCAACAAGGAUUUAAGCAUGCAAUUACUAAAAGCCACA